rnacentral:rRNA from 1 species
GAUGAACGCUGGCGGCGUGCCUAAUACAUGCAAGUCGAGCGAACAGACGAGGAGCUUGCUCCUCUGACGUUAGCGGCGGACGGGUGAGUAACACGUGGAUAACCUACCUAUAAGACUGGGAUAACUUCGGGAAACCGGAGCUAAUACCGGAUAAUAUAUUUAACUGCAUGGUUCAAUAGUGAAAGACGGUUUUGCUGUCACUUAUAGAUGGAUCCGCGCCGCAUUAGCUAGUUGGUAAGGUAACGGCUUACCAAGGCAACGAUGCGUAGCCGACCUGAGAGGGUGGUCGGCCACACUGGAAGUUAGACACGGUCCAGACUCCUACGGGAGGCAGCAGUAGGGAAUCUUCCGCAAUGGGCGAAAGCCUGACGGAGCAACGCCGCGUGAGUAAUGAGGGUCUUCGGAUCGUAAUACUCUGUUAUUAGGGAAGAACAAAUGUGUAAGUAACUAUGCACGUCUUGACGGUACCUAAUCAGAAAGCCACGGCUAACUACGUG